rnacentral:rRNA from 1 species
UUUAUGGAGAGUUUGAUCCUGGCUCAGGAUGAACGCUGGCGGCGUGCCUAAUACAUGCAAGUCGAGCGAACGGACGAGAAGCUUGCUUCUCUGAUGUUAGCGGCGGACGGGUGAGUAACACGUGGAUAACCUACCUAUAAGACUGGGAUAACUUCGGGAAACCGGAGCUAAUACCGGAUGAUAUUUUGAACCGCAUGGUUCAAAAGUGAAAGACGGUCUUGCUGUCACUUAUAGAUGGAUCCGCGCUGCAUUAGCUAGUUGGUAAGGUAACGGCUUACCAAGGCAACGAUGCAUAGCCGACCUGAGAGGGUGAUCGGCCACACUGGAACUGAGACACGGUCCAGACUCCUACGGGAGGCAGCAGUAGGGAAUCUUCCGCAAUGGGCGAAAGCCUGACGGAGCAACGCCGCGUGAGUGAUGAAGGUCUUCGGAUCGUAAAACUCUGUUAUUAGGGAAGAACAUAUGUGUAAGUAACUGUGCACAUCUUGACGGUACCUAAUCAGAAAGCCACGGCUAACUACGUGCCAGCAGCCGCGGUAAUACGUAGGUGGCAAGCGUUAUCCGGAAUUAUUGGGCGUAAAGCGCGCGUAGGCGGUUUUUUAAGUCUGAUGUGAAAGCCCACGGCUCAACCGUGGAGGGUCAUUGGAAACUGGAAAACUUGAGUGCAGAAGAGGAAAGUGGAAUUCCAUGUGUAGCGGUGAAAUGCGCAGAGAUAUGGAGGAACACCAGUGGCGAAGGCGACUUUCUGGUCUGUAACUGACGCUGAUGUGCGAAAGCGUGGGGAUCAAACAGGAUUAGAUACCCUGGUAGUCCACGCCGUAAACGAUGAGUGCUAAGUGUUAGGGGGUUUCCGCCCCUUAGUGCUGCAGCUAACGCAUUAAGCACUCCGCCUGGGGAGUACGACCGCAAGGUUGAAACUCAAAGGAAUUGACGGGGACCCGCACAAGCGGUGGAGCAUGUGGUUUAAUUCGAAGCAACGCGAAGAACCUUACCAAAUCUUGACAUCCUUUGACAACUCUAGAGAUAGAGCCUUCCCCUUCGGGGGACAAAGUGACAGGUGGUGCAUGGUUGUCGUCAGCUCGUGUCGUGAGAUGUUGGGUUAAGUCCCGCAACGAGCGCAA